rnacentral:lncRNA from 1 species
AAAGAUCAUCAAAGGCUGUCCCAGCCCCUCUGCCAGGACAGGACACACCUUCCACUAGACCAGGUUGCUCAGAGCCCCAUGCGGUGUAUACUCAUUGCUCAAGCGAAGUGAGAAAAGCUUUGUCUCAUGCUGUUGCUUAUCUCCUCUGCUCUUGUCCUAGGAAGAUUUUUCAGGAUAGCGGCAUUUCAAAAAGUGUUGGAUCUGACUCGUCCUUUCACAUGGAAAUUUCCUGAAUGUCCCCACUGAUAAUGAGUGUCUAAAUUGAUCGAAGAUAAUUGAAGAGUACAAGGGAUAGAUGGGAAAGAGGGAGAAAAUAACAAGAAGAAGGACAGGUAAGAUGAGUUUUAUGCAUCUGAUAUUUAAAAAAAAUCUUCCAGUGUCCUGAUUAUUCACUUAUUUUGCAACUGUCCAAUUCUUUUUAGUAAGACCAUCAACUUGGACUGACAGGAAGGAGAUAAUAGCCUUAGGUUGGCUUAUGUAAGAUGUUAAACUCACUAAAAAUUUCUGUGCUUAUGAAUGUAUAUCAUCAUACAUUGCACUUCUAAAAGUCUGCUUUUUAUAUGCUAUGUCUGCCUGACAUUUAAAAAAGAAUUAUCAGCCUUUUCUGAUAUCUAAGUGUCUCAUACUCUUUUGAAAACCAUGAUCAUUGUACAUUUUGGAGUACAAAUUGAGAUUUUGUUUUUAUCCUGUUGUAGAGUAGAUGCCUGCUUCUAAGUUUUUGGAUACUUUGCAGCAGUCUGAUUUGGUGUUAGACAAAUAAUACAGAUGAUUAAUUGCUUUAUUGAUGGAAAUGGCCAGGAGACCUAGAGAGACACAUCUAGAAGAAUAAAUUUGGCUGUAAUUGGUCUGUGACCUUUCA